rnacentral:rRNA from 1 species
GUGGGGAAUAUUGGACAAUGGGCGAAAGCCUGAUCCAGUCAUGCCGCGUGUGUGAAGAAGGUCUUCGGAUUGUAAAGCACUUUAAGUUGGGAGGAAGGGCAGUAAGUUAAUACCUUGCUGUUUUGACGUUACCGACAGAAUAAGCACCGGCUAACUUCGUGCCAGCAGCCGCGGUAAUACGAAGGGUGCAAGCGUUAAUCGGAAUUACUGGGCGUAAAGCGCGCGUAGGUGGUUUUGUAAGUUGGAGGUGAAAUCCCCGGGCUCAACCUGGGAACUGCCUCCAAAACUGCAUGACUAGAGUACGGUAGAGGGUAGUGGAAUUUCCUGUGUAGCGGUGAAAUGCGUAGAUAUAGGAAGGAACACCAGUGGCGAAGGCGACUACCUGGACUGAUACUGACACUGAGGUGCGAAAGCGUGGGGAGCAAACAGGAUUAGAUACCCGGGUAGUCC